UUCCCAGACUCCUACGGGAGGCAGCAGUGGGGGAUAUUGCACAAUGGGGGGAACCCUGAUGCAGCGACGCCGCGUGGGUGAAGAAGCGCCUCGGCGCGUAAAGCCCUGUCAGCAGGGAAGAAAAUGACGGUACCUGAAGAAGAAGCCCCGGCUAACUACGUGCCAGCAGCCGCGGUAAUACGUAUGGGGCAAGCGUUAUCCGGAUUCACUGGGUGUAAAGGGAGCGUAGACGGCCAGGCAAGCCUGGAGUGAAAGCCCGGGGCCCAACCCCGGGACUGCUCUGGGAACUGUCCGGCUGGAGUGCGGGAGGGGCAGGCGGAAUUCCUGGUGUAGCGGUGAAAUGCGUAGAUAUCAGGAGGAACACCGGCGGCGAAGGCGGCCUGCUGGACCGCGACUGACGUUGAGGCUCGAAAGCGUGGGGAGCGAACAGGAUUAGAUACCCCGGUA
rnacentral:rRNA from 1 species